GAGAAUAAGACAGGGCAUUGUUUCAUCUCUUUGCCUCCUGUCGGGAAUACAUGUUUGCAUCUGACGUGUGUUGCUGUUUGUAAGUUUUGUUUGCGUAGGUAUGCGCGCGUGUGCGUGUGUGUGUGGGUGUGUGUGUGUGUGUACGUGCGACUGCUAGGUCAAACAGGUUGAUAGCAAAGAGGGGGUGACGAGAUAACUGUGACUCAAGUGAUGCUGCCACGUGCGGACGCCCGGCUCUUCCUGUAUUUUUCAGGGAGUAUGAGGGCCCCUCGUAAUGGCGUGUUUUAACUCAGAUAGAAGAAGAAAAGUUAACCGGUGCGUAUUGCUGUGCUGCUGUUUCAGCACACCCGAGCACAAAAUCAGAAGUUCAUACAAGACAUUCACUCUCAAUUUUCCCAGCUUCUUUCCACUAUUUAGGCAAUUCACAAGGUUACCAUGAAAUGUAGGCACACGGCGACACAUCUCACCGUGGCGCUCUGACACACUUUGAUGUGCUUGAAUUCAUGUGACUGUCUCUUAUUAAUGCCACAUUUAAAAUCUCAGCUCUGUAGAUCUGUUUUAAGACUAAAAACAAUGUUUGUUUUUUUCUAGAUUUCACCAGGGCAAACAAUUGUAAACAUGUAAAAAAUGUAAAAAUCUAGUAAUUUCACUUUAGCAGCAUUCAGCCUCUCUGUAAUGCUGUAAAAAUGUUGCGUCAAGCUAACCAUUAGCCGCUAUCUAUCCCAAAGUUAGCAUCUCCUUUGGUAAUGUAACGUCUGUUGCAUGUAAUGACGUGCUUCGUAAUUUGUGACUGUAUGAUGUUUUUAUGCUGUAAAGCACUUUGAACUGCCUGGUUGCUGAAAUGUGCUAUGCAAAUAAACUUGCCAGAGUCUCGAUAAUCAAGUUUACUCUAAAGAGUAAAACAGUUUUCUCUUUAAAAGUAAACUAUUUUCUAUGGAGGCAUGUCUUCUGUUUAUUUGGGCUGUCUCAACAAAGCAUUUUGAUUCUUUACUUAAUUAAACAAUCAAAACUUGUUUCUUCACGAGCUAUGUCAAAACAAUUGGUAAUAUAGUUUAGUAAAUAUGAUACACGACAAUGUAACCUGUGCAAUAUCAGAGGUGGUAAUGAUUUAUAUGUUGGUAGUGCAGGUUUGGAGAGGCAAGCACGGCAGACUGCCAGCACACAACAUGUGUAUAAAGUGCUUCUCUCCUUCAUAUCCCACAGCAACAGCAGUUUGUGUCAGAAAAGGACGCUGUGAUAUUGAACUGAAGCCGCUUACCUGACCUCGGUACCAUCCUGGCAAACCCAAACUAAAGCCCAUUUAAACCUGCUUGCUGUUUUAAACCGAGCACAGAAAACUCUGCUACAAACUUCAAUUAAUCUGCAUGCGGAGCAAAGCUUAUUAAAUUGCGUUGACCUGGUUUUCCUCCGUCCACCUAAAUGAGGCACCUCUUGCUGUUAAUGAGCAAGGUCUUAGCAAAGACUCUAACAUUCAUUACAUUUAUUACACACAAUGUGAUACUUGCUGUAAUCAACAGAGCCAACGAUUACAGCAUAAAAACAACAAGAAAAACAACAACAGAAGGACACGUAAGAAACGGUGAGAGGUUUCCACACAGCUGUCGGUGCCCGAUGGAGACCUUAAUGUCUGACCUCUUGCGGGAUGCAGUGCGUAAGUUGAAGGAGAGGGUCCUCUUAAUAAAUGAUCUCGCCGUGUUCUGUCUGUACACUGAAAACUAAAAGGUUUCAUGACCUGGGGGCAAAGCAGACCUAUUGAAAAGGCACCGAGAAAGGUCAUAAAUUCAUAGAUAUCAGCAGUGGGAGAGCUGUAGCUUCCCCGCUUCCCGGACUGUCCGUGUGUAUUUCUGAGGUGUUUUGAAGGUCAGUGCAAAAGGCUCAGCAUGCCUGGCUGAUCCAUCCAGUGGACUACCAGUUCCCAAGCUGCUGCCCUUUGAAGCGGUCAGAAGAUUCAGGUAGGAUUUCCACCCCAGUAGAAGUGUUGCAUUGUCUGCUCCAUUUCAGCUUAUUUUCAGAUAUCAGACUCUUUUCCAGCACCUAGAUGUCUUAAAGAUAACACUCCUGCUGGUCUUUGAAACUUCUGCUGCAUCAGUUUUAAACAGUAGCAGACUGGAAACACCCCACAGGUCCUGUGUUUCAUCUGGCUUCUGCAGACUGAUCACAAAUGCCUAGACAAAUCUCUCAUUCAGAGCUUUCUGUGUAUUUAAUCAACUCAACAACAACAACAAAGAAAAAACCCCACAGAAAGUUACCAACCUUGGUAUGGUUGUUUUUUUCCUCACUUCUUUGAUGAGAUCUAAUUUCUUUUUAAACCUUAGCUUUGAUUCCACUUCCCUUUCUCUCUUACUAGGAAAGUGACAUAAAUGCCAAACUGUGGACCCAGCAACACACAUCAAAAUGUUUAAAAGCAUAAGUUUUCUGGACCCAUUCUAACCCUGGUGUGUAUCUCCAGUGGUCAGUGGGUGAGAUGGAGCCUGUGUCGUUAUGAACACGUCAACAAUGCAUCACAGAAACACACCAACUUGCCAUGUUGCCCUGUGGAAAUGUAAUUUUUUUUUUAUAUAAACCACUAAACUUUAUCUGAAUGAUUUAGCGGCUUGAUCAUUACAGAAGCUGUAUAUUCACACAGCAAAUGUCUGUUUGUUGCCUUGUUGUUGUGAAAUAUUUAUGUUGCUUUAUGUUCUCUUUUAUCUCCUACAGGUGAGGCGUGUAUCACCGAUUGCUCUCUCACACACGUAGAUUGUGUGACUUUACCUCUGCUCCUGAUAUGAAAGGGUCUUUAAAGAUAAGUCACGGUUAAAAUAUAUCAAUGAAUGAUUUAACAAUGAAAUAUAAGCAAAUUAAAUCAGUUUUCUAGUACAUCUGUGGAUUUCUUUGAAGUAUCAUUUGAGGGGCGUCGAGCAAAACAAUUCAAUUUUCUCAAGUAUUGAAUGUUAUGAACAAAGUUACUCAUGAACUUGGAACUCUUUUGUCUUUGACCCAGCUCCGACACAUGGCCCUCCUUCUCUGAUUGUGACCUUUGACCUCUCUGACAUCAUUUAUCAUCGCGCCGAAGCCCCCUGAACGCCCUUUGAAAGGACACGAACGGACCUCCUGCUGCGCAUCUCUUCUCAACCUUUUCAAAUUUGAUCCGGGCUCUCGGUGGUGCAUCUGGGCGAGCCGGUGAAUACAGUGGGACCCUCCGCACGACGAAUUUUGAAAGCCUUUAAAUGCACCAACAGAGACAUCAGCGGCCUUUCUGACAACGCCUCGGUUGGUGUGCAAUGUCACUUGAGGCGCCUGCAAUUACAUUUUGGACAAGGAACUCCAAUCGCGCCUCAAGUGGCACCGUGAUGGCCACUCCGCCAACUUUCCAGUGAUUGUGAGGUCACAUUGCCUGCCUCCAAUAACAUAUAAUCAGCACAUCAGCAGACAAAGGGAGGAGGGAAUGAGCCAUUAGGCUCCAGAAGCCAGCCAGUUCCCCACUGUCUGUCUGCAAGCUGAGAGCUGGCAGGCAGGCAAGCAGGAUAACAGGCUUCCUUUUCCAUCUACUGGAUGGCUGGAUGUUACACUCCGACGGUGGAGGAUGCCAACAAAGUGAGCAUGGAAAAGCCUCCAGGGUCCCAGAAACUAACAGAAAGAGGGGAAGAGGGGGGGUAAAAAGUGGGAAUUGUAAUUUGAAUGCUACUGUUAGUUUCCUUUGUUUUGUCUGGAAUGAUUUGCUGCAUGCGCCAACAACGCAAAGGAAGGCUCGUCUUCAAGGAGGUGAUGACUGGCGAUUCAAAGAUUCAAAGACGGGCUGACAGCUCGGCUCCACGCUUCCAAAACAUCAUCAUUUGUUUUAACACCUUGGCAAGAAGAAGAAAAAAAA